AGUGAACGCUGGCGGUAGGCCUAACACAUGCAAGUCGAACGGCAGCACAGUAAGAGCUUGCUCUUACGGGUGGCGAGUGGCGGACGGGUGAGGAAUACAUCGGAAUCUACUUUUUCGUGGGGGAUAACGUAGGGAAACUUACGCUAAUACCGCAUACGACCUACGGGUGAAAGCAGGGGAUCUUCGGACCUUGCGCGAUUGAAUGAGCCGAUGUCGGAUUAGCUAGUUGGCGGGGUAAAGGCCCACCAAGGCGACGAUCCGUAGCUGGUCUGAGAGGAUGAUCAGCCAAACUGGAACUGAGACACGGUCCAGACUCCUACGGGAGGCAGCAGUGGGGAAUAUUGGACAAUGGGCGCAAGCCGGAUCCAGCCAUACCGCGUGGGUGAAGAAGGCCUUCGGGUUGUAAAGCCCUUUUGUUGGGAAAGAAAAGCAGCAGGUUAAUACCCCGCUGUUCUGACGGUACCCAAAGAAUAAGCACCGGCUAACUUCGUG
rnacentral:rRNA from 1 species